UCCUCCCUCUUUCUUCGUGCUUAACACAUGCAAGUCGAACGGAAAGGCCCUGCUUGCAGGGUACUCGAGUGGCGAACGGGUGAGUAACACGUGGGUGAUCUGCCCUGCACUUCGGGAUAAGCCUGGGAAACUGGGUCUAAUACCGGAUAGGAGCCAUUUUUAGUGUGAUGGUUGGAAAGUUUUUUCGGUGUAGGAUGAGCUCGCGGCCUAUCAGCUUGUUGGUGGGGUAAUGGCCUACCAAGGCGGCGACGGGUAGCCGGCCUGAGAGGGUGGACGGCCACAUUGGGACUGAGAUACGGCCCAGACUCCUACGGGAGGCAGCAGUGGGGAAUAUUGCACAAUGGGCGCAAGCCUGAUGCAGCGACGCCGCGUGGGGGAUGACGGCCUUCGGGUUGUAAACUCCUUUCGCUAGGGACGAAGCUUUUUGUGACGGUACCUAGAGAAGAAGCACCGGCUAACUACGUG
rnacentral:rRNA from 1 species